CGUCGUUAUGAGAAAAUUGGACUCCCCGAGCAUCUUUUUCAAUAAAGAUUAUGGACUCCUCGAUCUUUUGUCGCUUGGGAGGUACGGCCAAUACGCCGGUUGCUCCCUGCUGGGAUUCUCCCGAGAUAGUGUUGGCGAAAUCCACCGGAAGCCGAUCACCUGACCGCCCCACGCCGACGGCCAUUACCGGAGGAGGAGGAGAAGGCUGAAAAACUAGAGGUGAGGCUGGAGCCUGAGAUCUGACCGCGGAGGCCGUGGAUCGCCGUGUGAAUGCUUUGCGGGGAGGCAUCGGGCGAAGAUCUAGUGGAGGAAGGAGGAGAGGACGUCAAAAAAGAUGAUCGGAGGUGGUCCCGUUGAGCGCUCCUUUAAGAACAAGGGUGC
rnacentral:lncRNA from 1 species